GGAUGUGAGGGUGAUCUGAUUACAACAUCUGUCACCACAUUGGAAGCCAGGGUGGAUUUGGCUGAUCUAGCUGGCUAGGUGGUGUCCACUUCCUCGCUCACCGCUCCCUGUGCAUUCCUCCCAAAGCUGCGUGCUCAAGAGGACAACCUUGCCUGCUAGAGGAGGACUGGUCUUCUGUCAAGGGUAUACGAGUAGCCGCGCUCCGCUGCUAGAACCUCCAAACAAGCUCUCAACUGUUUAAAUUCCUGCCACCCUCACAGGGUGGAUGGAGUUCCUGACUCCUUUCUUUGGCCUAGCCUGGCUGUCACAGGCA
rnacentral:snRNA from 1 species